CUACGGGCUGCUGCAGUGGGGAAUAUUGGACAAUGGGGGCAACCCUGAUCCAGCCAUGCCGCGUGAGUGAAGAAGGCCCUAGGGUUGUAAAGCUCUUUCAUCGGUGAAGAUGAUGACUGUAACCGAAGAAGAAGCACCGGCUAACUCCGUGCCAGCAGCCGCGGUAAUACGGAGGGUGCAAGCGUUGUUCGGAAUUACUGGGCGUAAAGAGCACGUAGGCGGCGCGACCAGUCAGAGGUGAAAGCCCCGGGCUCAACCUGGGAAAUGCCUUUGAUACUGUCGUGCUUGAGUCCAUCAGAGGGUGGCUGAAUACCCAGUGUAGAGGUGAAAUUCGUAGAUAUUGGGUAGAACACCAGUGGCGAAGGCGGCCACCUGGGAUGGUACUGACGCUGAGGUGCGAAAGCGUGGGGAGCAAACAGGAUUAGAUACCCCAGUAGUC
rnacentral:rRNA from 1 species